rnacentral:misc_RNA from 1 species
CCAUAAUUAAGCGGAUCAUCCAGAAUUCCACAUGCGUUCACACACUCCACAGAAGGAUCCAUCAAAGAGGCAUCCAUCGUGAUCUUCUCGCUGUAAAUUCCCCCACCCCCAUCACAAAAAUCUUCAAGUAGCUGUUGUGCAGGCUUCAAAAAUCUCGAUUCCUUUAAAAUCGAAGUAUAUCCCGUGAAAGGCCCGAGAGGGACCGAACUUCUAGACAACUCAGUCGAGGUCGAGCCACUGCCUCCAACAAUGCCAGGAACCGUAUAUCCAUCACCACCGCCAACAGUAAUCUUACCACCGUAAACUGCAGACCCGUGUCUUUGCAAAUUAAGGUCUAAAGGGAGAUUACUUUGGUGGGUAUGGUGAGAAGACAAAG